CGGUGGAGGCAGCGGUGG
rnacentral:misc_RNA from 1 species